rnacentral:snRNA from 1 species
GUGCUUGCUUCAGCAGCACAUAUACUAAAAUUGGAAGGACACAGAGAAGAUUAGCAUGGCCCCUGCACAAGGAUGACACACAAAUUCGUGAAGCGUUCCAUAUUUAA